AUGGACGACUUACUACAUUGGGAUUUCUCCCCCGGCCUUGCGGUCGCGGCUCAGGUGCGUCAAUGUUUUGGCUCCUCGGUGCACUUCUCCCCCUCUGAUUCGCACAAAGAGUUCUUCUUGGUGGCUCAUUUCUUCUCGGCAAGUUUUCCCCUCAAUGAAGAUUCUGUGGCCAUUGCUUUACAAUGUUGCAUUGGGGGGGAACCCUUCGGGUCUCAAGGUUUUACAUCUCUCUGGAAGAAGAUAUAG
rnacentral:rRNA from 1 species